ACUCUAUUUUCAUGCAGUACUAUUCUUUGGAUAUAACCUAUUUCAAGUCAUCCCUGGACUCUCACCUCCUUGAUCUACUCUGGAACAAGUACUGGGUCAACACAUUGUCUUCGUCACCACUUCUGGGUAACAGGGAUUAUGUUGCUGGACAAAUCUUUGAUUUAGCUGAUAAACUAGAGCAAGCUGAAGGGCAACUGGCACACAGUCGAUUUGGCAUGCUUAUGCCAUCACAACGAAA